UCCUACGGGGCGCAGCAGUGGGGGAUAUUGCACAAUGGGGGGAACCCUGAUGCAGCGACGCCGCGUGGGCGAUGGAGUGCUUCGGCAUGUAAAGCCCUAUCAGCAGGGAAGAAAAUGACGGUACCUGACUAAGAAGCCCCGGCUAAAUACGUGCCAGCAGCCGCGGUAAUACGUAUGGGGCAAGCGUUAUCCGGAUUUACUGGGUGUAAAGGGAGCGCAGGCGGUCUGGCAAGUCUGAUGUGAAAUACCGGGGCUCAACUCCGGGACUGCAUUGGAAACUGUCAGACUGGAGUGUCGGAGAGGCA
rnacentral:rRNA from 1 species